CCUACGGGAGGCAGCAGUGAGGAAUAUUGGUCAAUGGGCUUACGCCUGAACCAGCCACGUCGCGUGAGGGAAGACUGCCCUCUGGGUUGUAAACCUCUUUUGUCAGGGAGCAACGCCGGCUACGUGUAGCCGGACUGAGAGUACCUGAAGAAAAAGCAUCGGCUAACUCCGUGCCAGCAGCCGCGGUAAUACGGAGGAUGCGAGCGUUAUCCGGAUUUAUUGGGUUGAAAGGGUGCGUAGGCGGAAUGCCAAGUCAGCGGUAAAAUCGCGGGGCUCAACCUCGCUCCGCCGUUGAAACUGGCGUUCUUGAGUGGGCGAGAAGUAUGCGGAAUGCGUGGUGUAGCGGUGAAAUGCAUAGAUAUCACGCAGAACUCCGAUUGCGAAGGCAGCAUACCGGCGCCCAACUGACGCUGAAGCACGAAAGCGUGGGUAGCGAACAGGAUUAGAUACCCCAGUAGUC
rnacentral:rRNA from 1 species